CCUACGGGAGGCAGCAGUGAGGAAUAUUGGUCAAUGGGCGUAAGCCUGAACCAGCCAAGUCGCGUGAGGGAUGAAGGUUCUAUGGAUCGUAAACCUCUUUUAUAAGGGAAUAAAGUGUGGGACGUGUCCUGUUUUGUAUGUACCUUAUGAAUAAGGAUCGGCUAACUCCGUGCCAGCAGCCGCGGUAAUACGGAGGAUCCGAGCGUUAUCCGGUUUUAUUGGGUUUAAAGGGUGCGUAGGCGGCCUUUUUAGUCAGCGGUGAAAGUCUGUGGCUCAACCAUAGAAUUGCUGUUGAGACUGGGAGGCUUGAGGAUGUUUGAGGCAGGCGGAAUGCGUGGUGUAGCGGUGAAAUGCUUAGAUAUCACGCAGAACCCCGAUUGCGAAGGCAGCCUGCCAGGCCAUGACUGACGCUGAUGCACGAAAGCGUGGGGAUCAAACAGGAUUAGAUACCCUUGUAGUC
rnacentral:rRNA from 1 species